rnacentral:rRNA from 1 species
AUUGAACGCUGGCGGCAUGCCUUACACAUGCAAGUCGAACGGCAGCAUGGAGAGCUUGCUCUCUGAUGGCGAGUGGCGAACGGGUGAGUAAAGCAUCGGAACGUACCGUGUAGUGGGGGAUAACGUAGCGAAAGUUACGCUAAUACCGCAUACGCACUGAGGUGGAAAGCAGGGGAUCGCAAGACCUUGCGCUAUACGAGCGGCCGAUGUCAGAUUAGCUAGUUGGUAGGGUAAAGGCCUACCAAGGCGACGAUCUGUAGCGGGUCUGAGAGGAUGAUCCGCCACACUGGGACUGAGACACGGCCCAGACUCCUACGGGAGGUAGCAGUGGGGAAUUUUGGACAAUGGGGGCAACCCUGAUCCAGCCAUGCCGCGUGAGUGAAGAAGGCCUUCGGGUUGUAAAGCUCUUUCGGCCGGGAAGAAAUCGCACAGGCUAAUACUCUGUGUGGAUGACGGUACCGGCAUAAGAAGCACCGGCUAACUACGUGCCAGCAGCCGCCGUAA